rnacentral:lncRNA from 10 species
AAAUGUGGAUCUGAGAGAAUACUUGUCUGAAGAAGUACAAGCAGUACACAAGAAUACCACCUAUGACCUCAUUGCCAACAUCGUGCAUGACGGCAAGCCCUCCGAGGGCUCCUACCGGAUCCACGUGCUUCAUCAUUUAAUUGAGAUGGGGUUGUGCUAUGAUGCUCAUGCUGGUCUCAAGCAAUCCUCCCGCCUCAGCUUCUGAAACUGCUGGGAUUACAGGGGACAGGCAAAUGGUAUGAAUUACAAGACCUCCAGGUGACUGACAUCCUUCCCCAGAUGAUCACACUGUCAGAGGCUUACAUUCAGAUUUGGAAGAGGCGAGAUAAUGAUGAAACCAACCAGCAGGGGGCUUGAAGGAGGCGUCUAGGGCUUUGCUCCCAAGGGCUGUGGCUGAUGAUGGUAAAUAAGAACACAGAAGCUGUAGCUGAACACAGGCUGGCUGGUGGGCUUCCUAGGCCAGCCCAGCUUGUAUGGGUUCUGGCUACACCAGAGCACCAAGAGCCCACUUGCCUGGGAUGGCCCCACACUGUCACUCAGCUGUUCUUUGAUCAUUUUUUUCUAGAUUGAUGCUCCUUUCUCCCAUGCAUUGAGCUCCCAUCUAGCUUCAGCAGGGCAGAACCCUUCUCCAGAUGUGUGUAACUUAUGUCUUGAGUAUCU